AGUUCGGAUUGCAGGCUGCAACCCGCCUGUAUGAAGUUGGAAUCGCUAGUAAUCGCGGAUCAGCAUGCCGCGGUGAAUACGUUCCCGGGCCUUGUACACACCGCCCGUCACACCAUGAGAGUCGGGAACACCCGAAGUCCGUAGCCUAACCGCAAGGGGGCGCGGCCGAAGGUGGGUUCGAUAAUUGGGGUGAAGUCGUAACAAGGUAUC
rnacentral:rRNA from 1 species